ACUCAAAGGAAUUGACGGGGGCCCGCACAAGCGGUGGAGCAUGCGGUUUAAUUCGAUGCAACGCGAAGAACCUUACCUACUCUUGACAUCCUCGGAAGCUGGCAGAGAUGCUGGUGUGCCUUCGGGAACCGAGAGACAGGUGCUGCAUGGCUGUCGUCAGCUCGUGUCGUGAGAUGUUGGGUUAAGUCCCGUAACGAGCGCAACCCUUAUCCUUAGUUGCCAUCAGGUAAAGCUGGGAACUCUAGGGAGACUGCCGGUGAUAAGCUGGAGGAAGGUGGGGACGACGUCAAGUCAUCAUGGCCCUUACGAGUAGGGCUACACGCGUGCUACAAUGGGUGGUACAAAGGGAAGCAAAGUCGCGAGGCGGAGCGGACCCCAUAAAGCCACUCGUAGUCCGGAUUGGAGUCUGCAACUCGACUCCAUGAAGUUGGAAUCGCUAGUAAUCGUGGAUCAGAACGCCACGGUGAAUACGUUCCCGGGCCUUGUACACACCGCCCGU
rnacentral:rRNA from 1 species